rnacentral:rRNA from 1 species
AUGAACGCUGGCGGCGUGCUUAACACAUGCAAGUCGAACGGAAAGGCCCAAGCUUGCUUGGGUACUCGAGUGGCGAACGGGUGAGUAACACGUGGGUGAUCUGCCCUGCACUUCGGGAUAAGCCUGGGAAACUGGGUCUAAUACCGGAUAGGACCACAUUUUGGAUGGUGUGGUGGAAAGUUUUUCGGUGUGGGAUGAGCUCGCGGCCUAUCAGCUUGUUGGUGGGGUAAUGGCCUACCAAGGCGUCGACGGGUAGCCGGCCUGAGAGGGUGAACGGCCACAUUGGGACUGAGAUACGGCCCAGACUCCUACGGGAGGCAGCAGUGGGGAAUAUUGCACAAUGGGCGCAAGCCUGAUGCAGCGACGCCGCGUGGGGGAUGACGGCCUUCGGGUUGUAAACUCCUUUCGCUAGGGACGAAGCGCAAGUGACGGUACCUGGAGAAGAAGCACCGGCUAACUACGUG